ensembl:lncRNA
GCCAGAAAUACUACUUGGUCAGCAGUGACAUGUUUAAAAAUAUGUCACUAUUUAUUUUUAAUAACUCGCUUGCAUUUUGUCGGGGCCAAACACAGCCCUGCUGUUUGGCACUCUGCAAGAAUGAUCAAGUAUUAUACAGCUAGUUAGGGUUUUGGGUUGUUUGGUUUUUUUAGAAGACAAGGCUAUGGAAGCAAUUUGAAUAAAUCAAGAAGCAGGCAAAACUAUGAUCUACCAAUCUGUGCAGAGCGUUGGAGUGCUGCAGAUUAGAAUGAUUAUUUUCUGCUGGUUCUUCAUAAAAUAUACUUAGAACAUAGAAAAGUGUCCUUUGUGACACUUUCAUGUCAGCUUGAUGGCAUUGCAUUUUUUAGAGAGCAUAAAGAUUUCCAGGAAUAUUUUCAAACCUGUUCAUAUUAGACAAGUUUUGCAUAUUCAUGGCAACUUGAGAGGAACCUGUUCUCAGAAUGAUCUGAUAAUAACGGGAGCCAGAGCUAAGUUUACAUAUCCUGUCAGCUAUUUUUUUUUCUUUUGUUUUUUAAUGGCUGCGGUAAAGUUGUUUGCUUUGACACUGGUCAUUUUCUCAGCUUUAGAAGUUGUUUUGUUUGCCAUAAGGCCCACUGUUGGUUUGAGCUUAUCUGACAUGAGAAUUCAAAGUGUUCUUCUCGGUACUUACUGGUUGGGGUUGGGUCUGGCAUCUUCUCACAAGACAAGCAGUUCUUUUUGUCAUGGGCCCACCUGAUGCAUCUAAAACCAUCCUCGCAGUCACAUUUCAUAUCAGACGUACUGGUGCAGUUCUGAACCACUUUAAGAUGAAACUCUGAGAAAGAGUGAAAUAGAGAUUAUUUUAGAGACUAUUCAUCUCAGUACAUGUGGAGUUACUAUUAAUGGUUUAUCAGCUCUUUAUAGAAAACCAGAGAUCACGGGUAUAGCAUGAUCCUGAUGAAAUCAUUAAAGGUAGAAAUGACUCAUAGUUUCUUUACUAGGGUUGCAGUCUCCAAAGCAGCGAUGGCAUUCAUCUUCAUAGUUCAAGUCAGUUGUGUAACUUCCAGCAGGACAGUGUUCACAUGUUGUACAAUCACUCUGAUACAUACCUGUAAGAACAGAAAGAAACCAAUGCAAACAACUUAACGACAAGCAGUGUGAGCAGACAGCCUGCACACUCAGGAUGCAUAUUAAUGAAGGAUGUGGUCAUACUGCACAAGCUCAGUCUGCGUCAUUUUUCAUCAAUGCAGAA